UCCCCUGUAGCUCAAUUGGUAGAGCAGGUCGCUGUUAACGACAAGGUUCCAGGUUCGAGACCUGGCGGGGGAG
rnacentral:tRNA from 1 species